rnacentral:rRNA from 1 species
UACAGAGGGUGCAAGCGUUGUUCGGAAUUAUUGGGCGUAGAGGGAGUGUAGGCGGUUUGGAAAGUCUUCUGUGAAAUCUACGGGCUUAGCCUGUAACGUGCAGAGGAAACUUCCAGGCUUGAGUGUCGGAGAGGAUAGGGGAAUUCCCGGUGUAGAGGUGAAAUUCGUAGAGAUCGGGAGGAACACCAGUGGCGAAGGCGCCUAUCUGGCUGACAACUGACGCUGAGACUCGAAAGCAUGGGGAGCAAACGGG